UUGAAAAAAAUAAACCUAAUACACCCAUAGUCAAUCUUCCAACGGCUGGAAACCAUUAAUCUCUCUUGACAUUUUUUAUCAACUGUCCCAUCUGUUCUAUUCUUUUGACAAUAGCACUGCCCAAUAUUUCAUUCUUUGCUAUCUGUUUUUAGAAACAAGUUCUCUCCCAAUCUUCUUAGUUUGGGUUUCUUGCCCAUUGUUCUUCUGCUCUCAUAUCACAGUGAAUCGGUUCCUCAUUCUCUAGAGAAGCAACAUUGCGAUGAAUAAUCGAUUUCAAAGCCAAUACCUCGUUCAUCAGACCCCUGACCACCAACCCCGACGAUGAUUUGAACUCUCUGUUGUUGAACACAGCAUCAAACUGGAUCUUCACGGUCGUUCUCUGCUCGUUGUGUGUACCCGUUCAUGCAAAAGUUGAUUCCUUGAAUGCUAAAGUAUCCAUAAGCCAUAACAAAAAUAUCUGCAUUGUUCGUUUGUUCCUUAUUUGAAAACCACGGUGAGCCACUCCUAGAAAUUUUGAUGCACGAAAGUUGUGACCCAAGUAAGGUUUAAUAGCUGCCAGACCUCUAUGCUUGUGGAACAUUGCCGAAAAAUAUGAUGACAAUCUUCAUUUUCAUAACCAUACCUAGGGCAUCUGGCAUUUGUCACUAAUCUUCUAUGCCGGAGAUUGCCCAAAGUAGGAAUGUAAUUCCAUGAAAUACGCCAGAUUAUGAUUGUAAUCUUAGACGGUAGUUGUAGUUUCCAUAGUUUUCUGAAAAAUUUCUUGGUUUCGGUCUGUAACAAAUAAGGAUUAGGAUUCAGAUUAACAAUUUGUAAUAGUUUAUAGGGGCUACGGACUGAGUAUUCCUCUGUUGGUUCGCCCCUUCAGACUUGGAAGUCCUCGUGCACUGAUUUCGAUAGUGGGAUCUGUAGGAUUGUGCGAGCAACCUCCGGGUGAAAGGUAUUGUUGAUCAGCUCUUCUUUUCAUUUCCUAGUUGUAGUAUCAAUAAGAUCCGAAACAAAUUCUAGUUGCAUACUA